AUAAGAUUGUGCCACGUGUCAGGU
rnacentral:siRNA from 1 species